rnacentral:lncRNA from 1 species
CACAAAUUGAAAAUGAAAGGGAAGAAUUAUUCCUUAAAUAUGCAUAAUAAUAGCAUGUAAUUUGAAUAUUAGAUUUAUUUUCCAUCAACACUACAUAUUCUGUUUGGUUUUUGGAUAGAAAUCAGUUUUACCUGUCUUCAUCACCGGUGAUGCUGCUCUCCAGCAAAGACGACAGGAUACAUCGCAACUAGACUGCAGCGACCAACACCACCCGUAUAAUAGAGCUGCAUUGAUCUGAGGCCGUCCAUCUAGCCCUGUCAAGGGAAGUCAACCAGGUCAAGGGAAGUCAAUAGAUGUACCAUUCGACA